UCUAGGGGUUCUGAGAGGAAGGUCCCCCACACUGGUACUGAGACACGGACCAGACUCCUACGGGAGGCAGCAGUGAGGAAUAUUGGUCAAUGGACGCAAGUCUGAACCAGCCAUGUCGCGUGAAGGAAGACGGUUCUAUGGAUUGUAAACUUCUUUUAUACGGGAAGAAACGUAUCUACGAGUAGAUAUUUGCCGGUACCGUAUGAAUAAGCACCGGCUAACUCCGUGCCAGCAGCCGCGGUAAUACGGAGGGUGCGAGCGUUAUCCGGAUUUAUUGGGUUUAAAGGGUGCGUAGGCGGAAUAAUAAGUCAGUGGUGAAAUCUUGCAGCUUAACUGUAAAACUGCCAUUGAUACUGUUAUUCUUGAAUUUAGUUGAGGUAGGCGGAAUGUGUUGUGUAGCGGUGAAAUGCAUAGAUAUAACACAGAACACCGAUUGCGAAGGCAGCUUACUAAGCUAUAAUUGACGCUGAUGCACGAAAGCGUGGGUAGCGAACAGGAUUAGAUACCCUGGUAGUCCACGCCGUAAACGAUGAUUACUCGUUGUUGGCAAUACAUAGUCAGCGACUGAGCGAAAGCAUUAAGUAAUCCACCUGGGGAGUACGUUGGCAACAAUGAAACUCAAAGGAAUUGACGGGGGCCCGCACAAGCGGAGGAACAUGUGGUUUAAUUCGAUGAUACGCGAGGAACCUUACCUGGACUUAAAUGUAGAUUGACAGGCUUAGAGAUAGGCUUUUCUUCGGACAAUUUACAAGGUGCUGCAUGGUUGUCGUCAGCUCGUGCCGUGAGGUGUCGGGUUAAGUCCCAUAACGAGCGCAACCCCUAUCUUUAGUUACCAGCAUGUAGUGGUGGACUCUAAAGAGACUGCCGGUGUAAACCGUGAGGAAGGUGGGGAUGACGUCAAAUCAGCACGGCCCUUACGUCCAGGGCUACACACGUGUUACAAUGGUCGGUACAAAGGGCAGCUACCUAGCGAUAGGAUGCUAAUCUCUAAAACCGAUCUCAGUUCGGAUCGGAGUCUGCAACUCGACUCCGUGAAGCUGGAUUCGCUAGUAAUCGCAUAUCAGCCAUGAUGCGGUGAAUACGUUCCCGGGCCUUGUACACACCGCCCGUCAAACCAUGGAAGUUGGGGGUACCUGAAGUCUGUUACCGUAAGGAGCGGCCUAGGGUAAAACUAAUAACUAGGGUUAAGUCGGAACAAGGUA
rnacentral:rRNA from 1 species